GCUGGGCGUUGUGGUGGGUGCCUGUAAUCCCGGCUACUUGGGAGGCGGAGGCAGGAGAAUCACUUGAACCCAGGAGGUGGAGGUUGCAGUGAGCCGACAUCGUGCCACUGCACUCCAGCCUGGGCAACAGAGUGAGACUCUGUCUCAA
ensembl:misc_RNA Metazoa_SRP Metazoan signal recognition particle RNA